UACGGGGGGGGGUAAGCGUUGUUCGGAAUUACUGGGCGUAAAGGGCUCGUAGGCGGCCAACUAAGUCAGACGUGAAAUCCCUCAGCUUAACUGGGGAACUGCGUCUGAUACUGGAUGGCUUGGAUUCGGGGAGAGGAAUGCGGAAUUCCAGGUGUAGCGGUGAAAUGCGUAGAUAUCUGGAGGAACACCGGUGGCGAAGGCGGGUCUCUGGGCCGAUACUGACGCUGAGGAGCGAAAGCGUGGGGAGCGAACAGG
rnacentral:rRNA from 1 species